GAAAACCAUUUGCCCAGAAAUGUUUUCAUUAAUCAGGAACGAAAGUCGGAGGUUCGAAGACGAUCAGAUACCGU